UACAGAGGUUCCGAGCGUUGUUCGGGUUCAUUGGGCGUAGAGGGGGCGUAGGCGGCGCGGUGAGUCGGGUGUGAAAUCUCGGAGCUUAACUCCGAAACUGCAUUCGAUACUGCCGUGCUUGAGGACUGGAGAGGAGACUGGAAUUUACGGUGUAGCGGUGAAAUGCGUAGAUAUCGUAAGGAAGACCAGUGGCGAAGGCGGGUCUCUGGACAGUUCCUGACGCUGAGGCACGAAGGCCAGGGGAGCAAACGGG
rnacentral:rRNA from 1 species